AACUCCACGCCCGCACGACCUUUCGCCCGCUUCUCCUCCUCCCAACCGACGCCAGCGCCGACCCUCCGCCGCCCACCGCGCCGGCCUCCUCGCCGCCCCCAAGAAUGACGCCGCCUAGACGCACGCUGCUCCUUUCCCUUCCCAAGCCGCCCUGGAUCUCGCGAUGGAGGUGGCCGCCGUCGUGGCCAUGGAGGUCUCGCCAGCCGCCUUCGAAGUCAUACAUCCCCGAUAUCGAUGGGAUUCCAGCCGCCUGGCCAAGGUCGUCGGCCCUCGACGAGCUCCUCCAUCACUUCUGGUUCCCCAUAGUGGCUACGGGCCGCCUCUCCCUCUCCAUCCUACGCUCCUCCUUCUCCACUUCAGAUUUCGGCUGAAGAUCGCCUCUCCCUAUUCCCCCUUCCAAUCGAUUGGAGCACAGGCGGAGAGCCUGGUUUUGUGCGGCGGAGAUGGCGCCCCGCCUCUGCGCCUCAUAAGGCUGGACGUAACUCCGCCGAGGCCAUGACCUCUCCAGGUAUCGAUCUAAAACAGCGGAGGAUCACAUGUGUACUGCCUGCAGUUUCAAUUUAACAGGGCAGUUGCCAUCAUCGUGAGACUUGCCAACUUCAGGAACUACAACGACUCUUUGUUCCAGCCAUAUCCGAUCCACCGGGCCGGAGCUUUCACGUACCUACAACGCACGGUGCUCGUAGCGCGCUGUUGGCGCCGGCCUCGUUGCCCCACUCCCGGAACCCCUCAAGCAGCUCAUGCUCGUUUGGUCGUGCAGGACGAUGCUGUAGCACUAUCGUUGGAUGUGAAUUGCAUCAAAACCGGAAGCAGCGUGCGCACUGGUGUGGCGUGUUUCCUCCUUUGCUACACUUUGAUUGACUGAUGGUUAGAUGGUUGAUGUUGCAGUCUGAUGAGGCCUAGGGGUGUGGCUUCUGCUGAAAUUUUUUACACCACCAGCUCCUGGUGAGUUUGCUAACCUGAGUCAUUAUAGAGGAAGUGAGAAUGUCAGAAGGGAGAAGAAGGAAAAACCUUGCUGCCGGAGAUGACAUCCACACCAUUUUGUGUGUGUUGGUGGAGUGAUUGAACCAUGGCAAUCAGAGCUGACAUCACAUCUCCUUCCUCAUACACACUUUUUGGGUAGUUGUGCAUCUAUAUUCCAUUCUGCACACCAAGAGAUUAUGUUAUUUUUCUUUUACUGGAGCAGUUACGAUUUAGUAGUACAUCGUUAUCAUUCUCAACAAAUUCUUACAUGACACCUUUGAUACUCAUGUAUAAGAAAGAACUUUCAGCGAUUAAGUUACUUUAUUCGACUUUAUGUUUUUCAGGAGGGGAGGCCGGGAGGCGGGACAGCCGGCAGCGGCGCCAUUCUGUUCGGGGAUGCUUGGAUCUGGUGAUGCUGGAGCAUGGGAACGGGAAACAUCACCUCAGCUACGGAAUUUCAAAUAGCCAAUUUACCUUUCUCCCUAAAGAUUUCUUACACUGCUGUCAGUAUCAUUGGUCUUGGGGUCUAGAUUUUGUCAAUAUCAAAAUCUGGGUACUUACCAGCAAACGAGUUGUUGAUCUAUUUACUUAGUCAAGUUCAUUUCUGCUAUGUUCUUCAGUCAAGCUUUAGAUUCUAGCCUUGAUUAAAUAGCAAUGAUAUUGUCCAAAACCUGCUAAUGUCAGAAAUCCUACUGCCCAACAGGAUUUCUAGAAUUCUGGUGGAUCUGGUUUCUAUAACAUGGUUUGCCAACCGCGGUGAGCACUGCUCAGUGUGUGGCAGCUUUUCAUUAGGAUUGGAGACAAGAUUUGGGAUGUAGGUGUAGGUCAAAUUUUGCAAAAAUUAUGGGUCUGCAGGUACAAAGUUACAUGCAGGAAAUUUUACAAUUUUCUGAGAGUAAAAAUUCAAGCUUGAAUUUGAAUAUAGUUCCAUGAUUUUUUUUGCUGACAAGUUAUCUUAUAUUUACUUCUCUUUCUAUGGUAUAAGAAUUUAUAUGCCUACUUAACCGUUCAAGGAUAUCCAUUUUGUUUGUCGAUUGGAAGUUACCACAUAUAAGCUUGAGUCCAUGUGAACUGACACACAGUUUGGAACAAAAUAAAACUUAGUGCUGUAGUACAGUUUGGUGGUUAAACUACUCCUUACCUCGACAUUCUAAUUGGCAUUGGUCAUGCAAGACCGCUUGCAUGAAAUUAGUGGCUUGCUGCAGUUGUACUCUUCAAAAAUUCUGUUGCUUCGGUUAACUAGGAGUCGAGAACUACAAUUCCCCAAAAGAUCAUAUAUGCUUGAUGUGUGUGAACAUAUUGCAGGCAGGCGGUUCCAAUGAUGGCUCAGUUCCUGUACAGCUUCACCGAGAGGCAUAUGUUGUAUGAGAUGUUGUAUUUUCACUUCUCAGACUGUCUGUAUUCUGAUUUGCUCGCUAGGUGCUUGAUAAAAUGCCCAUCCGAGCAAACAAUUUGUCCUGUGCUACCUGAGAGAUGCAAGUUGGAUGUGGAGGACAAUCAUGUACGACCCUUAGGUCCUAUGGUUAAUCUGCUUAACCUGGGAGGUGGUCAUCAAGUUUGAGAUGGCAAGUGUAGGUGCUAUGUACUAUUUUCAAUGAACCAAUAAAAUGCAUUGGCUAUUUUCUACUCA